rnacentral:misc_RNA from 1 species
AUAAGUUUCACAGAUUGAUGGAUUAUCAAUCGGUGGUUCAAUGACUCGAUUCUGCUAAGCAACGGAUUAAUUGAGGCGCGCCGGUAAUUCCGCUGGUAGAAUUUGCGGAAGUUCGCCAGGAAGGGUAUCCACGUGCGUUACGUGGAUACGACGUUCAAAACCGACACGGUGGUCCCGGAAUCUUGGCUCGAGAAACUCCAACGGUCCGAGUCCGCGCCGUUCGUAUUUCGAAUUAACAUCGCGACUCCGAACCCACGGCUAUAUUCGUUGGCCUUUGUUGGAACGCACGACUCGGUGGAACAUGGGUAAAGAUAGCCACAUUUCGUGGCAAAUGCUCGUGGUUUCGGGUCACGAUGACCUUGAAAUGGAAUUUACGCAACUGAUAUUUUAUUUACUUACGCUGGGCGUAGCUGCCGUUAAAAAAUUAUUAUCCUCCUGCUUCGCUGAACAGUCGAGAAGUUUAAGAAGAGUUAAAUCGUAACUUUUAAAUGUUGUGCGAGUUAAAAGGGAUUCGAAGCAAACACCGAGUGCGGUUUUAAG